rnacentral:lncRNA from 1 species
CAACUUUGGUCAGUCAGGUCAGGGCUUUUAGGGGAUCCAUCACCCAACCAACGUUGUUCCCAUUUAUUCACAGGCUUUGAAACUGAGCCCCGGGCAUGAAUUUAGAAAGUAGCAGGACAGUUUGAUUUCAGGGCUGGGAAAGAAAAGGACGUUUGGCUUCCAUCUCCCUGAUUUUCUAGGGCCACCCCUAAAUCUAGCUGCCUAGGCUCUGCGUGGGAGGCCUGUGGGGGUGCUUUCUACCCCAAAUCAGGUCCUGUCACUUGGCAGUGGGAUGUGUGCUCAGGGUUUGGGGUGUCCAGAGGAAGAUGAGCUUGCUGAGACAGGAGCUGUGGGGAGCCAGCUUGCCCCCAAAUGGAGACCCUCCGGCCAUCUGUGAGAUAUCGCCCUUGGUGUCUUACUCUGGAGAGGGUUUAGAAGUGUACCUGCAAGGCCGGGAGUUCCAGUCCCCGCUCAUCCUGGAUGAAGACCAGGCCAGGGAGCCGCAGCUGCAGGAGUCCUGACCCGCCCAGACUGUCCCCAGACUCCCCCGAGACCUGCCAGCCCCGGCAUCCUGGAAGUCCCGACUCCCCCCAGACCUGCCAGCCCCGGCGUCCUGGAGCUGGGGGCUACAGCCCAGCCUGAGCUCUGGGUGGGAAAGCAGCCUGCCCCAUGCUUCCAGCCUGCAGAACACAGAAUGAAACAUGCUGGUAGACUCCACGAGGGCAGGGCCUCUCCUGUCGCCUCUGGACACAAGUGGCGACAGCCUGCUGGGGGCUCUGUGGCUCCAUUCCUGGCUGUGGGGUCUAGUCAAGAGGCAGAGGGACUUGGGACCUGGGAGAAUGGGGCUGAGAGGAGGCUUCGGGUUGGGGCCCAAGGGAGGUGUGGUGUCAUCUGGGGAGAACAGGAGGGCAUGUCCCUUUGGGAGCCCGCCUUGUGGAUCCACCACACCCCACCGAGCACUAGAAGCUGCAUAAGCUACACAGGAUGUGCUUCUGCAGCCUACAGAUGCAGAACCAGAAUGAGGGGGACAAUUCCACCCACUCGAGGGCUGCCCCCUCUUCCUUAGCAGACGAACCAGUAAUGGGGGCAAGGCUGGGGCAUCCCAGCCCACACACCCUGGAUGCCCAGCAAGGCCACAGAAAGAGCCUGAUGUCCAUGAUCCAGGUGGCUCUGAGAAGCUUGGCCUGGACACCUGAGCCUGCGGCCGGUACUCCUGCCUUCUCCCCAUCUAUCCCCAAGGCCUCUGCCUCUCAGCCUCUUCCAUGGUCGGUUUAGGCUGCUGAGUUUUCUGUGCUUCCCCAAGAACCAGUGGGAUCAAUGCCGGCGGCCUCUGUGAUGGUUGCUGACUAAUCCGGGAUUUCAUGAGUCAGAGGCACCACCCCUCACCCCAGCUGCCUGCUGCUUCUGACGGAUCUUGGUGCUCAGGCUGCCUGGCUCUCCGAGUGAGGACGCAGCCUCCAUAUUUGGUGCACUCAGGCAUGGCUGGGACAAGCCAGCUGCCCCAGGGUUCUUCCCCUGGUGAUUCUCGCCUGCUUUCUCAUCUCAGGGGAGGCAGUGGCACCUCCCUCUCCCUGCUGACAUGAAGAGAGCUAUGAUAUGCCACUGCUGCCAACUCAUCCUCUGCCCCCACCUCGAAACCCACAGUCCCCAGUGGAGGGCCACUACUCAUCCCCAUUGGUUUCCCAGGGGAGGGGUGUUGUCUGGAAGGGCAGGUUCAGAUGCAGCCUUCCAGAUUUAGAGGCACUGGGAGGACAGUGGCUGAGUGGAGGCGCCCAGACCUGGGCAGGCAGCAGGCUCAGGCCCACACCUUGUGAUUUUUGAAACCAAAGCCCAGAAGAUGAUGUUUACUUCUCUCUCCCUGGCUCUGCCCUUCUUACUGCAAACCAUGCUGUGCCUUAGGGCCCUUCUCAUAGCUGUUCCUCAUGGCCAUGACUGGAACAGGGAUGCAACCUCUUUCUACACAAGCACAGUUAGUUGGGUGAAGUCUUUUUUUUUGUUUGUUUUAGACGGAGUUUCACUCUUGUUGCCCAGGCUGGAGUGAAGUGGCGUGACCUUGGCUCACUGCAACCUCCAGGCCAGCCUCAGCCUCCCUAGUAGCUGGGACUACAGGCACCCACUACCACGCCUGGCUAAUUCUUUGUAUUUUUAGUAGAGAUGGGGUUUGACCGUGUUAGCCAGGAUGGUCUCGAUCUCCUGACCUCGUGAUCCACCCACCUCGGCCUCCCAAAGUGCUGGGAUUAUAGGUGUGAGCCACCGCGCCGGGCCGGUUGCUGGCAUCUUAAUGUUCUGUAGGUGGAAUAUUUCCAAUAAACACAAGGUGCCGUAAUUGA